rnacentral:rRNA from 1 species
UACGUAGGGUGCAAGCGUUAAUCGGAAUUACUGGGCGUAAAGGGCGCGUAGGUGGCCCGGUCAGUCUUUGGUGAAAGCGCGGGGCUCAACCCUGCGUCGGCCAGGGAUACUGCCGCGGCUCGAGCACUGUAGAGGCAGGCGGAAUUCCGGGGUGUAGCGGUGGAAUGCGUAGAGAUCCGGAAGAACACCGGUGGCGAAGGCGGGUCU